UACGAAGGGGGCUAGCGUUGCUCGGAAUCACUGGGCGUAAAGCGCACGUAGGCGGACUCUUAAGUCAGGGGUGAAAUCCUGGAGCUCAACUCCAGAACUGCCUUUGAUACUGGGAGUCUUGAGUCCGGGAGAGGUGAGUGGAACUGCGAGUGUAGAGGUGAAAUUCGUAGAUAUUCGCAAGAACACCAGUGGCGAAGGCGGCUCAC
rnacentral:rRNA from 1 species